rnacentral:rRNA from 1 species
UAACACAUGCAAGUCGAACGAUGAUAGAGAGCUUGCUUUCUUGAUUAGUGGCGCACGGGUGAGUAAUGCAUAGAUAAUGUGCCCUUAGUUCGGGAUAGCCACUGGAAACGGUGAUUAAUACCGGAUACUCCUUCUUGUUAUAAGACAAGUCGGGAAAGUUUUUCGCUAAGGGAUCAGUCUAUGUUCCAUCAGCUUGUUGGUGAGGUAAUGGCUCACCAAGGCUAUGACGGAUAUCUGGUUUGAAAGGAUGAUCAGACACACUGGAACUGAGACACGGUCCAGACUCCUACGGGAGGCAGCAGUGAGGAAUAUUGCACAAUGGAGGAAACUCUGAUGCAGCAACGCCGCGUGGAGGAUGACGCAUUUCGGUGUGUAAACUCCUUUUAUUAGGGAAGAUAAUGACGGUACCUAAUGAAUAAGCACCGGCUAACUCCGUGCCGGCAGCCGCGGUAAUACGGAGGGUGCAAGCGUUACUCGGAAUCACUGGGCGUAAAGGGUGCGUAGGCUGGCUUUUAAGUCAGAUGUGAAAUCCAAUGGCUCAACCAUUGAACUGCAUUUGAAACUGAAAGCCUAGAGUUCAGAAGGGGCAGAUGGAAUUAGUGGUGUAGGGGUAAAAUCCGUAGAUAUCACUAGGAAUAUCAAAAGCGAAGGCGAUCUGCUGGGAUGAUACUGACGCUGA